CUUGCAAGCCGGCUUAUCGCGCCAGCGGUUUUCCGUUGGUGAGGAAAGUCCGGGCAACAUCGGGCAGCGUGCCGCGCGAACAGCACGGGCAUUUUGAUGGAAACAUCAGAAUGACAGACAGUACCGCAGAAAAUAGGUAGCCCGGACUGAUGUAUCAGUCGGGGUGAUAGUGAAAAGGCGGAGUAAGAGCCCACCGGCCGGCCAGUAAUGGAAGGCGCAUGGUAAACCUCGCGCGUUGAAAGGUCAAAUAGGCCCUGAUAAAAUGAACGGCCCGUUCUUAUCUGUCAAAUCAGGUAUUGGGGUGGGUAGACCGAUUGAUCCUGACGGCAACGUCAGGACAAGAUAAAUGAUAAGCUCCUGACGGAAACGUGAGGAACAGAACCCGGCUUACAGGCUUGCAUCUUUU
rnacentral:RNase_P_RNA from 1 species